UGCACUCACUACUGUAAGUCGCUCUGGUUAAGAGCAUCUGCUAAAUUACUGAGA
rfam:Salmo salar isolate Sally breed double haploid chromosome ssa01, whole genome shotgun sequence.